UGCAGUCGAACGGCAGCACGGGGGCAACCCUGGUGGCGGGUGGCGAACGGGUGAGGAAUGCACCGGAACGUAUCUUCAAGUGGGGGAUAACGCAUCGAAAGGUGUGCUAAUACCGCAUAAUCUCUGAGGAGAAAAGCAGGGGAUCGCAAGACCUUGCGCUUUUGGAGCGGCCGAUGCCUGAUUAGCUUGUUGGUGAGGUAAAAGCUCACCAAGGCUUCGAUCAGUAGCUGGUCUGAGAGGACGACCAGCCACACUGGGACUGAGACACGGCCCAGACUCCUACGGGAGGCAGCAGUGGGGAAUUUUGGACAAUGGGGGCAACCCUGAUCCAGCCAUGCCGCGUGAGUGAAGAAGGCCUUCGGGUUGUAAAGCUCUUUCAGCCGGAACGAAACGGUCACGGUUAAUACCCGUGACUACUGACGGUACCGGAAGAAGAAGCACCGGCUAACUACGUGCCAGCAGCCGCGGUAAUACGUAGGGUGCGAGCGUUAAUCGGAAUUACUGGGCGUAAAGCGUGCGCAGGUGGUUUUGUAAGUCAGAUGUGAAAUCCCCGGGCUUAACCUGGGAACUGCGUUUGAAACUGCAAGGCUAGAGUGUGGCAGAGGGGGGUGGAAUUCCGCGUGUAGCAGUGAAAUGCGUAGAGAUGUGGAGGAACACCGAUGGCGAAGGCAGCCCCCUGGGUCAACACUGACGCUCAGGCACGAAAGCAUGGGGAGCAAACAGGAU
rnacentral:rRNA from 1 species